rnacentral:sRNA from 1 species
GUCGGGAUACUGGCCGGUGAAGAUCGUGGGCCGGCUCGGCACGCA